GACAGGAGGGACAGGUGAGGGACAGGUGGGACAGGUGAGGGACAGGUGAGGGACAGGUGGGACAGGGGAGGGACAGGUGGGACAGGUGAGGGACAGGUGAGGGACAGGUGGGACAGGUGGGACAGGUGGGAUAGGGGAGGGACAGGUGAGGGACAGGUGAGGGACAGGGGAGAGAGAAAAACAAACAAAAAAUCAUCUCCAUGUUUGGAACCCAAAAUCUCCCGGAUUUUCCCCAUUCUGGAACCUAAAACCUUCCUGGACCCGUCCAGGUGAGACAGGUGAGCUCAGGUCAGACAGGUGAG